ensembl:lncRNA
GGUGUCUAUAGGUCCUGAUAUAAUGUUGUGUUCUCUCCAGGUUGGUCCAGGUGUCUAUAGGUCCUGAUAUAAUGUUGUGUUCUCUCCAGGUUGGUCCAGGUGUCUAUAGGUCCUGAUAUAAUGUUGUGUUCUCUCCAGGUUGGUCCAGGUGUCUAUAGGUCCUGAUAUAAUGUUGUGUUCUCUCCAGGUUGGUCCAGGUGUCUAUAGGUCCUGCUAUAAUGUUGUGUUCUCUCUAGGUGUCUAUAGGUCCUGAUAUAAUGUUGUGUUCUCUCCAGGUGUCUAUAGGUCCUGAUAUAAUGUUGUGUUCUCUCCAGGUGUCUAUAGGUCCUGAUAUAAUGUUG